rnacentral:rRNA from 1 species
AAGGGCGCAUGGCGGAUGCCUUGGCUCUCGGAGGCGAUGAAGGACGUGAUAAGCUGCGAUAAGCUCUGGGUAGGUGCAAAUAACCUUUGAUCCAGAGAUUUCCGAAUGGGACAACCCGGCAUUCUGAAGGAAUGUCAUCCAUCUUUGAUGGAAGCUAACGCAGGGAACUGAAACAUCUUAGUACCUGUAGGAAAAGAAAAUAAUAAUGAUUCCCCUAGUAGUGGCGAGCGAACGGGGAAUAGCCCAAACCACCCAUGUUACGGCAUGUGUGGGGUUGUAGGACCACGAUGUCGCAAGACAUUUGAUGAGUAGAAUCCUCUGGAAAGUUGAACCAUAGACGGUGAUAGUCCGGUAUACGAAGUCAAAUUAAGCGUAGUGGUAUCCUGAGUAGCGCGGGACACGAGAAAUCUUGCGUGAAUCUGCCGGGACCAUCCGGUAAGGCUAAAUACUCCCGAGAGACCGAUAGCGAACCAGUACUGUGAAGGAAAGGUGAAAAGCACUUCGAAUAGAAGAGUGAAAUAGUCCCUGAAACCGUGCGCCUACAAGCGGUCGGAGCUGCUUAAGCAGUGACGGCGUGCCUUUUGCAUAAUGAACCUACGAGUUACUUUUUCCGGCAAGGUUAAGCAUCUUGAGAUGUGCAGCCGAAGCGAAAGCGAGUCUGAACAGGGCGUCGAGUCGGAAGGAGUAGACGCGAAACCAAGUGAUCUACCCUUGGUCAGGUUGAAGGUUAGGUAACACUAACUGGAGGACCGAACCGAUAAGCGUUGAAAAGCUUCCGGAUGAACUGAGGGUGGGGGUGAAAGGCUAAUCAAACUUGGAGAUAGCUCGUACUCCCCGAAAUGCAUUUAGGUGCAGCCUUGUGAGUUACUAAUGUGAGGUAGAGCGACUGAUAAGAUGCGAGGGCUUCACCGCCUAUCAAGUCUUGAUAAACUCCGAAUGCGCAUUAGUUCUAUCACAGGAGUGAGGGCAUGGGUGCUAAGGUCCAUGUCCUAAAGGAGAAGAAUCCAGACCAUCAGCUAAGGUCCCCAAAUAAACACUAAGUUGAACUAACGAAGUCAGAUUGCUAAGACAGCUAGGAUGUUGGCUUGGAAGCAGCCAUUCAUUUAAAGAGUGCGUAACAGCUCACUAGUCGAGGAGUUUGGCGUGGAUAAUAAUCGGGCAUUAAGUGUUUUACCGAAGCUAUGGGAUCAGUAAUGAUCGGUAGGGGAGCAUUCCACUCUGCGUCGAAGGUGAAGCGUGAGCUUUGCUGGAGCGUGUGGAAAAGCAAAUGUAGGUAUAAGUAACGAUAAAGGGGGUGAGAAACCCCCUCGCCGAAAGACUAAGGUUUCCUGAUCAACGCUAAUCGGAUCAGGGUUAGUCGGGUCCUAAGGCCCAGCCGAACGGUGAGGCCGAUGGCAGAACAGGUUAAUAUUCCUGUACUACCUUAAGGAGUGACGUGGAGACGGAGCAGUGACAGCGCCGCGGACUGACGGAAUAGUCCGUUGAAGGGUGUAGAUGUUGAUCAUCCCAGGCAAAUCCGGGAUGAGAGUCGAACCUGAUAGUAUGGAGCGUUCUUCGGAACAAUCCAAUAGUGCGUGUAAGCAUACUCCCAAGAAAAUCCGCUAAACUUAAUCCUUGAGGUACCCGUACCGCAAACGGACACACGUAGUCGGGUUGAAUAUACUAAGGCGCUUGAGUGAUUCACGGUUAAGGAACUAGGCAAAUUGACCCUGUAACUUCGGGAUAAAGGGUCCCAACGAGAGUUGGGCGCAGAGAAUAGGUCCAGGCAACUGUUUAACAAAAACACAGGGCUGUGCCAAAUUGAAAGAUUACGUAUACAGCCUGACACCUGCCCGGUGCUGGAAGGUUAAGAGGAGAUGUCAUCGCAAGAGAAGCAUUGAAUUGAAGCCCCAGUAAACGGCGGCCGUAACUAUAACGGUCCUAAGGUAGCGAAAUUCCUUGUCGGGUAAGUUCCGACCUGCACGAAUGGUGUAAUGAUCUGGACACUGUCUCAACCGUGAGCUCAGUGAAAUUGUAGUAUCGGUGAAGAUGCCGAUUACCCGCGAUGGGACGAAAAGACCCCGUGAACCUUUACUAUAGCUUAACAUUGAAUUUGGGUAAUUGAUGUGUAGGAUAGGCCGGAGACUUUGAAGCAGGUACGCCAGUAUUUGUGGAGUCGCUGUUGAAAUACGGCCCUUUGAUUAUUUGAGUUCUAACUCGUAGUUGCGAGGACACUGUUUGGUGGGUAGUUUGACUGGGGUGGUCGCCUCCAAAAUAGUAACGGAGGCUUCUAAAGGUGCCCUCAGGACGAUUGGUAACCGUCCGUAGAGUGUAAUGGCAUAAGGGCGCUUGACUGGGAGACUAACAAGUCGAUCAGGUAGGAAACUAGAGCAUAGUGAUCCGGUGUUUCCGUAUGGAAGGGACAUCGCUCAAAGGAUAAAAGGUACUCCGGGGAUAACAGGCUGAUCCCUCCCAAGAGCUCAUAUCGACGGAGGGGUUUGGCACCUCGAUGUCGGCUCGUCACAUCCUGGGGCUGGAGAAGGUCCCAAGGGUUGGGCUGUUCGCCCAUUAAAGUGGCACGCGAGCUGGGUUCAGAACGUCGUGAGACAGUUCGGUCUCUAUCUAUCGUGGGCGUAUGAAAUUUGCGUGGCUCUGACACUAGUACGAGAGGACCG